CCAACUAAAAAUAACAAGAUUAAACUCACUAGGAAUUCGAGUGAAGGACAAUUUAGUCCUUUGGUUCUCUUUUAUCUUUCUUUAGCCAGGAACCUAUAAAAAGUGGACAGAUAAUUUGUCGUUUAUAUAUUAAUUUGUAGAGGAGAACUUCAAAGCGAAAUGUUGAUUGGUGAUGCUAUUUCCACCUCAUAAAUUGAUGUCAUCAUUGGUUACUCGAAAAUGGGAAAAAAAAAAACCAUGAAAAUUAUAACUUUUUUUUCCUUCUAGAUCUAAGGUAUUAUUGGAAACUCCUCCGAAUUUGACAGUUUUAAACCUUUCAGCUCAUAAAAACAUACAUUAGGAUGCUUGUCAAACAUAGAACAACUUCUGUAAGACAAUUUACUGCAACUUUUGUAAGAAAUUGCAGGGUGGGUUAUUCCAACAUUUUAUAUAUAAUUUAUGUACAAAACAUUUUCAUAUCUAAGAAAUAAUCAUUCAAAUAUAUAAAAAUAUAUAUUUUUUAAAAAAGUGAUUUAAAUUAUGAUCUUUUGAGAGUUUAGAUAUUCAUGGAGGAGUCCAUUGAGUAAAUUUCUAGCAAUUUCAGACAAGGUAUAUAUAGGUGUAUGAUCAUCGAAUAUAUAUAUAAAAGAUUUUAGAAAAUUUAAAGAUACCCAUAUUUAUCACUUAAAUAUAUAACAAGAAGGAAAAAAAAAAAAAAAAAAAAAGGGAGAUGAAUAAUGAUUCAUUAAGCAAUUUAUGUAAGAAAACUUAACAGCAAAGAAAUGGAAGGUAGCUUUUGCAUACCUGUGAAGAACUACGCACAAACGAUGAACAGAGAAAUUGAAGGGUAUCUUGUCACAAGGCGACGGCACUAAGCUAAGCUAGGGUGGGGGAAGCAAAUCAUAUAUAAAACCCUCAGUGCCAUCUCUCCUGCGACAAGAUUCCCCCAAUCUCCUCUUUAUUUCCUUUGGAUUUCUAGCUUUCGGUUUAGCUUUUUCUGUGCAUAUUCAUCUCUGCAUUUAUAGGGCUGGAAACAUGGUUAAUUGUCCGGC
rnacentral:lncRNA from 1 species